UACGGAGGGGGCUAGCGUUGUUCGGAAAUACUGGGCGUAAAGCGAACGUAGGCGGACAUUUAAGUCAGGGGUGAAAUCCCGGAGCUCAACUCCGGAACUGCCUGUGAUACUGGGUGUCUUGAGUAUGGAGGAGGUGAGUGGAAUUCCGAGUGUAGAGGUGAAAUUCGUAGAUAUUCGGAGGAACACCAGUGGCGAAGGCGGCUCACUGGUCCAUAACUGACGCUGAGGUGCGAAAGCGUGGGGAGCAAACAGG
rnacentral:misc_RNA from 1 species